rnacentral:misc_RNA from 1 species
GUUUUGAGACUUGAAUAUGAAGCAUAUAAACCUAUGGCAAAAAAGAAGAUGAAAGAAAUGUGUGAUUCCAUUCGUAAACAAUGGGAGAUACAUAGUAUAGCCAUGAUUCACAGAAUUAAUGUAGUCCCCAUCUCUGAGGCCAGCAUUGUCAUUGCCAUUUCUUCCCCUCAUAGAAAGGAGUCACUACAGGCUGUGGAAUAUGCAAUCGACACUCUAAAAGCCACAGUGCCCAUCUGGAAAAAGGAAAUUUAUGCAGAUGAGUCAUCCAGCUGGAAGGAAAACAAAGAGUGUUCAUGGAGUAAAAAGUGACAAAGUGUAGAGCAUUUAUAGACUUACAUGUAGUCUGGUUAUGAAGAAAGCCAAACUUUAUCCAGUAGAUGGACAAGAUACAAUAUAUCCUCCUUUUAAAUGCUUCAGGCAGAAUUUCUUGAUUAUUAGAGAGGUAAAUUGAAAUUUGUUUAAUUGCCAAAUGUGUGAUUUUUCAAAUCUGAAGUUCUUAGCACACAUACAUGUACAUGUAUAAGUUAUGGGGAUUAAGAUUAUUGGUAAUUAUAUAGUUUUAACUGAAAAAUUACUUUCACAAAUGUAAAAUUGAACAUGGGUGUGUGGAGAGAUGCUGUACUUCAAGUUAAAGAUGAAUUUGAAUCAUGCAGUGCUAUUUUACUGUUCAAGUAUGAUAGAAAAAUACAUAUUUAUUAUUAUUGUAAUACAUGUAAUCAGAAUAUUUACAUUGAUCAU